CAAAAGAACUCAUAUGUCGACACACUUCUUGAAAUAUCACUUAUUAAAAAAUCAAACAUGACUGUAUUAAAGACCUAAACCACCAUAGUUUUCACAUGAUCAUACCGCAUUAUUCACAUAUUAUAUUAUACAUGAUGUAAUAUUUACGGAUUCAUCACAUAUUAUGUUAUAAAAUAUAUACGAUUAACUUCAAAUACAUAAAAAUGGUACAAUUUGAAAAAGAUUGUUUCUAAUCACAAAUUUAAACGAUAAGGUUUGUUCCUAUAUCACAAUUUUAAAUUUUAAAAUUUAAAAUCAUAACAAAAUAUGUAAACAAGAACGAAUAUAGUGUGAAUAUGCUAACUAGAUAUAUUCUUAGAUUUGUUGUCAACAAUAUAUACGAUUAUCAAACAAAACAAAAAACACAAAAUAAUUAAAUAACUUGGUCUACAAGGCUUUUUAUUAUGACAGAAAUACAUAAUUUUCCUUAUUUCUAUCAAACAAAAUAUCUAAUCAAUUCUACUUAUAUUCUCUACCAAGAUUUUUGGUUACCUACAUUGAUUACCAAAUAUUAUAUCCGAGCUUCUCUUAACCUUCAUCGACUACAUACCUCUCUUAUUAUAAAUACUGACCAUCUUGAUAUCCUUUUAACAUCAACUCUAUCAAAACAAAAAAAACAUCAGAAAAAAAAAGCAAACAAACUAUUCCAAAAACAUGGUUAAACUGACCAUCUCGAUUCAGAUGUCAUUCUUGAAAGACGUCGAACCACACAAGACGGUUUGACGUGUACAAGUGAAAGUGAGUGGAGACAAUGGAAUAAAAUUGCUGGUGAUUCACUGGAAGUAAUCCUAUCGAAUGUACAUGGUACGAAAAAGCUAUGUCUCAUGCAAAAAGACUUACAUGGGUGAAUUGGCUAACACGGUUCUUUGCUUUACUUCAAAUACCCGAUGAUUCAUUGAUACUUAUCUCUAUUUACAAAAUAAAAAUGGAAAAGUAGAACAUUCUUCAAGCGGUAUGAAGAAGAAAUAAGGGAGAGAAGAUUUACCCGUUCAGAUCUUAGAGGAACCACUCGGCGGCGAACUCCUACGAAACAAUGAAUCACCGUCGGAGAUUUUUUUUUUAACUUUCGAUAUAAACAAGAAGAAGUCUUUAUCUCUUUGUUGCCGGCAGAAAGAAUUUGUUGACUGGGGUUGGGCCGGAACAUAAUUUAAACAAAAUUAAAUU